AGUGAACGCUGGCGGUAGGCCUAACACAUGCAAGUCGAACGGCAGCACAGUAAGAGCCUGCUCUUACGGGUGGCGAGUGGCGGACGGGUGAGGAAUACAUCGGAAUCUACUUUUUCGUGGGGGAUAACGUAGGGAAACUUACGCUAAUACCGCAUACGACCUACGGGUGAAAGCAGGGGAUCUUCGGACCUUGCGCGAUUGAAUGAGCCGAUGUCGGAUUAGCUAGUUGGCGGGGUAAAGGCCCACCAAGGCGACGAUCCGUAGCUGGUCUGAGAGGAUGAUCAGCCACACUGGAACUGAGACACGGUCCAGACUCCUACGGGAGGCAGCAGUGGGGAAUAUUGGACAAUGGGCGCAAGCCUGAUCCAGCCAUACCGCGUGGGUGAAGAAGGCCUUCGGGUUGUAAAGCCCUUUUGUUGGGAAAGAAAAGCAGCAGGUUAAUACCCCGCUAUUCUGACGGUACCCAAAGAAUAAGCACCGGCUAACUUCGUG
rnacentral:rRNA from 1 species